AACUUGCCCACAGGUUUUUGGGGGGUGAGAGCUGUGGGCACCUAGGGCAUGGCCGAGUGGGACCAAGAAAGAGGAGUUUUGAGUUACAAAGAAGAAUCUUUAACAACACGCAGCAUGUUGUAUUUUCCAAAGAUGGCUACCUCCCAUCCUACCUGCUCUUCUGCUGUAUGACCUUGGAAGGAUGAAGACUAUUUCUCUGUCUCCUGGAAUGUGGUUGGGCCCUGAUCCACAAAACCAUGAGCAAAAUUAAAUUAUCCUUUUAAAUCA